rnacentral:rRNA from 1 species
AACGAACGCUGGCGGCAUGCCUAACACAUGCAAGUCGAACGAGACCUUCGGGUCUAGUGGCGCACGGGUGCUUAACGCGUGGGAACCUGCCCUUAGGUUCGGAAUAACUCCCCGAAAGGGGUGCUAAUACCGGAUAAUGUCUUCGGACCAAAGAUUUAUCGCCUUUGGAUGGGCCCGCGUUGGAUUAGCUAGUUGGUAGUGUAAAAGCCUACCAAGGCGACGAUCCAUAGCUGGUCUGAGAGGAUGAUCAGCCACACUGGGACUGAGACACGGCCCAGACUCCUACGGGAGGCAGCAGUGGGGAAUAUUGGACAAGGGGCGAAAGCCUGAUACAGCAAUGCCGCGUGAGUGAUGAAGGCGUUAGGGUUGUAAAGCUCUUUUACCCGGGAUGAUAAUGACAGUACCGGGAGAAUAAGCUCCGGCUAACUCCGUG